CUGCAAGAUGUCCAGGCUGGACAGAGGUGAAGAAUGAUUCAGAGCUCACAACACAGUGGAUUAGGAGAUGAGGAUGAUAACUUCAAAAACGAAUGAGGCAAGGAUCCAGGACAGCUCUCAGGGAGUUGUGAUGAGAAAGGCGAUACACAACCACAGAAGAAGCAGACAGGAUCCGAAAGCAGAUUGAAACAUACUAUUCUUUACUUUAUUUCCUCCAUGAAUUUUUCUCUAGUGUUCCUGCACUGCUGGCUUAACUGGAGACUCAGGAAGGGGACUGCCAGAGAAUGGAGGCCACUUGUACCGGUGGAGGAGGUGUGUGUGCGUGUUCUCUCCCAUGCUUAGAACACAGGAAGGAUCUACCCUUCUACAAUCAUGGGCCCAUGAAGCAUCAUCCACAGACAACAAAUUGUACCUGGGAGUCCACAGAGAAGAGGAGGACGUCUCCUCCAACAAGGCUGCAGGUCUCUAAGAGAGAGGGGUCUACAGGUCUACUUUUUAAUGGUCACAACACAAGAUCAAGAUCAAACUUGGAUUUACAUGCUUGCUAACCAUCCCUUCUUAAUUCACACAAUGUGCUGCUAUCCUGGCUUAGAGAAGUGAGGGCAGAUGGGUGAAGACAGUAAUCCCGCUUAAUGUUGAUUGAGCUAGCAGUACUGGAGAUAAACUUUAAAGUGGCUAAUAAGAAACUCUCACAAAAGUUGUUUGCAAAUAUCUCAAGGUUCUUGACUGAUGGUAAUCAUUUCAUAAUUUGCUAAUUCUUAGCAUUCCUCUUCCUGUGUGGGAAUAAAACCACUUGAUACAUGGUAGUACUUUGGGAA
rnacentral:lncRNA from 1 species